CACAGAUGAUGUACUUCAUCCUUUUGUCGUAGGACUUCAUUCGCUUAAAGGAAAACUAAAGACCACAUCAAUGGAGCACAUUCAGGGAGCUUGGAAGACCAUCAGUAAUGGGUUUGGACUCAAGGAUUCUGUCUUUGAUGGCCCCAACUGUAUCUCCCCAACCAUCGUCCAGCAGUUUGGUUAUCAACGCCGAGCGUCUGAUGAUGGCAAAAUAUCAGAUACUUCCAAAACCAGCAACACUAUUCGUGUUUUCUUGCCCAACAAGCAGCGCACGGUGGUAAAUGUGCGGAAUGGGAUGACCUUACACGACUGCCUUAUGAAGGCGCUUAAAGUACGAGGUCUGCAGCCCGAGUGCUGUGCGGUUUUUCGGCUUCUUACUGAGCCCAAAGG